rnacentral:rRNA from 1 species
GUUUUUUUGAAAAUAAUUUAAAGUCAAAUCUSCCCCCUGAUUUAUUAAAGGGCUGCAGUAAAUUGACUGUACAAAGGUAGCAUAAUAAUUAGUCUUUUAAUUGAAGACUUGUAUGAAAGAUUUAAUGAGAUAUAGACUGUCUCUUUUUUAUAAUUAAAAUUUAAUUUUUUAGUAAAAAAGCUAAAAUUUAUUUAAAAGACGAGAAGACCCUAUAGAGUUUUAUAUUUAAUUUAAUUAUAAUUUUUUAUUAAUGUUUUGUAAAAAUUAAUUUAAAUAUUUUAUUGGGGUGAUAGAAAAAUAAAAUUAACUUUUUUAAUAUAUAUAUAUAUAUAUAUAUAUAUAUGUAUACUAUUAACAUUAAUAUAUGAAAAAAUGAUCCAUAAUUUAUGAUUAAAAGAAAAAAUUACCUUAGGGAUAACAGCGUAAUUUUUUUUUUUAGUUCAAAUAAAAAAAAAAGUUUGCGACCUCGAUGUUGGAUUAAGAUAAAAUUUAAAUGUAGAAAUUUAAAAUUUUUGAUCUGUGCGAUCAUUAAAAUCUUACA